rnacentral:rRNA from 3 species
UGGGGAAUAUUGGACAAUGGGGGCAACCCUGAUCCAGCCAUGCCGCGUGUGUGAAGAAGGCCUUUUGGUUGUAAAGCACUUUAAGCAGGGAGGAGAGGCUAAUGGUUAAUACCCAUUAGAUUAGACGUUACCUGCAGAAUAAGCACCGGCUAACUCUGUGCCAGCAGCCGCGGUAAUACAGAGGGUGCGAGCGUUAAUCGGAAUUACUGGGCGUAAAGCGAGUGUAGGUGGCUCAUUAAGUCACAUGUGAAAUCCCCGGGCUUAACCUGGGAACUGCAUGUGAUACUGGUGGUGCUAGAAUAUGUGAGAGGGAAGUAGAAUUCCAGGUGUAGCGGUGAAAUGCGUAGAGAUCUGGAGGAAUACCGAUGGCGAAGGCAGCUUCCUGGCAUAAUAUUGACACUGAGAUUCGAAAGCGUGGGUAGCAAACA